GGGUCUGCUUUAACUGGUUCUUGCCUCGACACCACUACGUGAUUCCAGGAAUCGUGCACCCAACCUGCCAGGGGGAGCCAGCCAAUUCUACCAAGCUUGCUGGACACCACUAUUUUCAACGAGCCAGAUGAUUCAGCAUCCCAAGCAUCGGAAAUUCACAUGGAAGUUGGUAAUGAUU